rnacentral:lncRNA from 1 species
GUGUGUGUGUGGGUGAGAGAGAGAGAGAGAAAGAGAGAGCGAGAGAGAGAGAAUUUCCCACAAUAAUUCUGUAUAGCUGUAAUCUUUUCUGGGUGUAUUGUAUCCUGUCCUCGACUUCCUCAUAAAGUGCUUGUUUCUUGCUGUUUUCAUUUCAUCUGACUGCCUUCAAGCCAAGCAGCCCUUCUCAUUUCUUCCUUGUUUCUGGAUUGUCACUAUGAUCUGCUUCUUCACACAUUGAUUGCUCAUUCUGGUCUUUCCCCCCCAUCUCUGUGGGUUCCUUUGUU